rnacentral:lncRNA from 1 species
CCAACCAUAAGAAAAGCCACUGACACACUUACCCAGAACCAUGGUGCACCACCACAGCAGCAAGGUCAUACAGGCAGCUCUCUGGGCCACUGUUCUCAGGCUAUAGAACAAGGGAGAAGACAUCCAGGACUGAGUUAGGAGCAGGGGUCAGUGACACCCUAGCUCCUAUCAAUGUGAAGACUUAAUUUUAAUGAAAAGCCAUCUUAGCACCUCCUAGCAAAGGUAAUUAAUUUACCAUACCUCUAGUAAGUAGCAUUUCAUGUCUAGGCCUCUCAAUGGAAAUUCUACAUAGGUAUCAACUUUGUUUCUUAAAUAUGCAGUCCAGUGAAAUCGUUUCAGAUGUAAGCAUAGUACCUGGAUGAGAGAUAAGGACAAAGAUUGUAAAACAAAACAAAACAAAACAAAAACACCUAAUUUCCCUUUCAGUAAAAUUAGCUACUUGGUACUAAUACCUCUCAGUAAUAUUUUAGGUGGCCUAUCAGUUCUUUUUUUUUUUUUUUUGAACCUUGAUAGUACUUUCUUCCACAUACCUUAUGAUAUUGUGAUUUAUAAUAAAUAUAACACCUGAAAUUAAUACAACACUGUAGUUAACUGACUGGAAAUAAAAACUAGAAAAUAUAUAUGCUAAGGGUUUAGGAGCUGUAUGGAAAGGGGGUUAAGACCUAAUAUACACAUAUAUAUAUGUUAUAUACAUAUAUAUAUAUUAUAUACAUAUAUAUAUUAUAUACACUAUGUAUUUUCUAAAAUAAUUAUAUAUACUUUAUAUAAUGUUAUAUAUUUAAUUAGACUUAUAUAGUGUAUAUAUAUUAUAUAUGUAUUUCCACACAGCUCCUAAACUGUUAGAAUUUCCAAAGGGAUGGCCAUAUAGGUGUCUUUGUUAUGCCAAUAAGGUAACUUGUUGACUGCCUCAAAGGAUCAGGCGUGAUUGCCAGGGGUCCAAUCAUGUAAUUACAGAAUUGGAACCUUCAAUCUCCCCAACCCAACUCUCCAGGUAGGGCAGAGGGGCUGAAAGUUGAACAACUGCCAACAGCCAAUGACUUAAUCAGCCAUGCCUAUGUAAUGAAGGCUCCAUAAAAAUCCUAAAGGAGAGGUUUGGAGAGCUUCCAGAUGGGGAACCAGAACACUUCAAAGUGCUACUGUGCCAGGCCCAAACUCCACAAGGACAGAAGCUCCUCUGUUCAGGACCCUGCCCUAUGCAUCUCCUCAUAUACAUGUCUAGCCUGUUGGGCAGAAGCAUAAAGUAACAAGCUGCAUUUGCUGGGCUUCUGAAGCAGAGGUAGUCUUAUGGGACUGAGCCCUGAACCUGUGGAAUCUGAUCACUAUCACCGGCUUUGACAGUGUCAGAGUUGCACUGAAUUGUAGGACACCCAGCUGGCUGCUUAGCAGUGGUGUGAUAGGAAACCAUCCUCUCCACAUACUGGAAAUUGUGAUCAGGACACAUUAAUUAUACAUUCUCAAAGGGUUUAUUUACCUCUUGGUGAAAACUCUAGAGACCAAUAUAGAAUAGAUCACAUAGGCUAAAGUUACAAAAAUAAUUUGUCUUCUCAUCAAUCAUAAACAUUUUUCCCCUCAAAAUUGCAUAAUUUGAAACUCCAUGCUUACCUUGGGUAGUUUCUGAAUCCAAAACUUUUUAGUGGAUUUUUGUUUCUUUUUGCAUUUGUGGCACAUAUAUAACUCUGUCUCAUCGAGUUCUUCUAAGUCAGUAAAACUGCGAAGACAAUCUAAAACCAAAUUGAUUUUGGCGACAUUAAAACAGAAAGCCUUCUAUAGAGACAGUGUGCUAUAGAAAACAGACUGAACUUUGAAGCUGGACAACUAUGGCUCAAAUCUCAGCUUUAUUAACUUUGUGACCUUGGAAAAGUCAGCCUUUCUUGGUUGCAAAAUGGAUACCAAAAAACCCCAAACAAACCCACUCUGAAGAACUGCUGUGAGGAAAAUAACGUGUGAAGUUUCUGGCCAUCAUGUCUGACAUCUGGUAGUGAUCAGCUAACAACAGGUGAUACGGUUAUUGGGUUUGUUGCUUUUAAUGAAGAAUUAGUCUGGAUCAUUUUGAUGAAAAUGGUUUCCUUAAAUCCAAGUUUGAGCAGCAACUUUCUCUCAAUGUCUUACGUUAUAGUUGGACAAAG